CAAAAGCUUGGUCCUGGCUUUGAAGUCAGCUUUGAUGAAAUUUAUACAUGCAAGUAUCCGCACCCCUGUGAGAAUGCCCCACACUUCCCACCCGAGGAAAAAAGGAGCAGGUAUCAGGCACAACUUAAUUAGCCCACAACACCUUGCUUAGCCACACCCCCAAGGGACCCCAGCAGUAAUAAAUAUUAAGCAAUAAGUGAAAACUUGACUUAGUUAAAAUCAGCCCGGGCUGGUAAACCUCGUGCCAGCUACCGCGGUUAUACGAGAAGCCCCAGUUGACAACACUCGGCGUAAAGCGUGGUUAACAAACAUAGCACUGAAGUUAAAUGCAACCCAAACAGUUAUACGUAAAUGGUAGCAAGAAGCCCACCCACGAAAGUGACUUUAAAACUGUGACUCCACGAAGACUAGGGAACAAACUGGGAUUAGAUACCCCACUAUGCCUAGAUGUAAACCAAUGCAAACUAUUACUAAUCUGCUCGCCAGGGGACAACGAGCUUAAGCUUAAAACCCAAAGGACUUGGCGGUGCUUUAGACCCCCCUAGAGGAGCCUGUUCUAGAACCGAUACCCCCCGUUCAACCUUACCCCCUCUGGCCCUCAAGCCGCCUAUAUACCGCCGUCGUCAGCCUACCUCAUGAGAGUAAAACAGUAAGCAAAACUGGUAAAGCCUAAAACGUCAGGUCGAGGUGUAGCAAAUGAGGGGGCAAGAAAUGGGCUACAUUUGCUGCCCCAGCAAAAACGGACCACCCGAUGAAACACCUGUGCAAAGGAGGAUUUAGCAGUAAAAGGGAACUAGCACAUCCUUUUGAAAUUGGCCCUGAAGCGCGCACACACCGCCCGUCACUCUCCCCAACAAACAAAAGCUAUCUAUAAUUACUAAGACCAACAAAGGGGAGGCAAGUCGUAACAUGGUAAGCAUACCGGAAGGUGUGCUUGGAAAAACC
rnacentral:ncRNA from 1 species